CUUACGAUGUACGAUUGCACGUACGCGUGCGCAGUGGCUAUUUUCACUUCGAAGCGUAAAAAGUGUGAAUUUGCUCAUUUACUUUGAAUUCCCUGCGCUACCGCCGCAUUAUAACGAAAAAGAACACAGAACUUUGUGAGAAAGCAACGAAUUUCAACGUAUACGUAUGCCUGCCAACGGCAUGUCGAUCAACUGUACCGUUAUUCAGUGUUGUUUACAAAUCCAAAUGGAAGGUUCAUCAAAUUUAACGCAUUUGACUUGUGCAUGGAUCUGCGAUGCUGUAGGUGUUCAAAAAGAAGUCGGCAUGGACUGACAAGUCAUAAAGGUGGUCAAGAAAUAAAUUGCCAACAGACAGCAGCAUUCCUUGAUUUAGAUGCAUUUCUCUUCAUGUCCUCUCCUGAAAGAUUUUCCAUGAUGCCUCAGGGUUAGGAUUGGGAUGCAAGAUGUACAGUACAUAUAUAUGAUGUCUAUGAGUACAUUGCUGUAAUGGCCUGAAAAAUCUUUUGCGAAACCGAGAAAUGCUCAUCUUCCAUUGUCUUGAUUGAGUAAAAGGACAAGCAGAGGAAUGAUUCAAAAAUAUAUGGCAGGAUUGAGAAUCUAACCCAUGACCCGUAGUGUGGUACUCUACCCAUUGAUCAAUCCAUGCUGAUGGUCCAUCUGCUACAUUGAUGUCAUCUUAUAUAUUUAUUUAUUCAUUUAUAUCAUAUGGACAUUUAAAAAUUGACAGUAAAAUAAAAAAAAGUUUGAUAUUCAGCAAAAUAGAAUUUUUUACAAUACAUGUUUAAGAAAUUAAGUACAUGUACAUGCAUUGUUAUGCAUACAAUUAUGUACAUGUAAUUAUAUUUGUUAAUAGAUAACUUUUUAGAUGAAUUUUCAUGUUGUUAUUGAUAUUGACAUGUACAUGUAUUACUUCCAUUUCUAGAAUGAUUUUAACAUCUUGAUAUUAAAAAGAUGACAUAAUAAAUAAAUCUUAAAUAUUUGUCAACAAAGUUGUCUGGUGGGUUAAAAUUUGUAAAGAGGAGCAUUAGUACAUAUGUCGGUUUAAUGUGAGAAGCCUUCAGAAUGAACUUUUAUCAGUGAG